ACUGAAUACUGUAGGCAACUGUAACACAAUGAGGCUGCUGACUGUCCAUCACUGCUAAUUCUCUGCAGAUACUUGGCUGCUUAGCUGAGAUGACAUCUACACUUCCCAGCAUCCCUUGCAGGGGGAAAAGCAGAAGGCAGAGUUACUGGACGGGAAUAAAUGAGGACAACCCGGAACUGCGUGGAGGAACCUGGAGUCAUGGAAGAGAAGUAGCUGCUGAUGGAAACCACACUUAAAGCACAGGGAAAAAAAAGGGAGAAAUACUCGCCUUUUUGCCUUAUUCUGCCUUCCAAGCUCCAGCCAGUUCUUAAUAGGGGCCAUAUGCUGCCAAGAUUUAGCUGACAAGGUAGCCUGGGAAACACUACCUGCAGGGGUGAAGACCUGCCAUACACAUAGAGCAAGGGAAUCACGAAGAAUGGAUCAGGAAGCACAAGGCCAUGCACUAUGUAGGCAUACAAUAGUUGUCUCACACUGAGCAAAUGCAAAACCUACCUGCUGAUGUUUAUCCAUGAUCCUACUUCGCUCACAAUUAGUGCGUCUCAGUGGAAACAUCAUCUUUUUUUUUUUUCACUUUUU